GUGGAAGGCGAAAGCUGAUGGACAGACUCACAGCAUUCCUGCGCACCUGCUGGAUCCAGAUGCUGAUCUCUAGAUCAGGUACAAGACGCAGAGCCCGCCUGCCUCCGCAGUCUGGAAAUUACCAAGGUCGCUUCCCUGCUCCCUGAAUUUCCCUCCUGAGCCACAGUCAUCUUACCUGAAAAGCCAAUUCUGUAUCGCAGAGCUUCCUGAUCUGGCGCUCUUUAAGGAAACCUGAGGAUCGCCAUUCCUCUUUUGUGCAGCGCGCACAAAGGACGGAGUCCUGUGCACACCAGUAGCUUCUCCUGUCUGACCUUCUUCAGAGGAUCAUUUCAGAGAGUGUGUCUCUGUGACACACAUCUGCUUCCUUUUAUUUCUGGAGACCCUAAUUAUAGACGUUAAAUUUGCUAGCUGGGUGUGGCAGCUCAUGCUUGUAAAUCCAGGCUCAAGCAGAAGCACCAGUAGGAAAGGCAGGGCGAGUUUGUUUGUUUGCUUGCUUGCUUUGCUUUGCUUUGCUUUGCUUUGCUUUGCUUUGCUUUGCUUUGCUUUGCUUUGCUUUGCUUUGCUUUGCUUUGCUUUGCUCCUCAGGUAAAUUGUAUAUCUGCCACAGCAGCUCUUCUUGUAUUUUUUUUUCCUUGCAUGAUUCUUGUGACACCUCAUAAUUGUCAGGGACAGGAAUAGUCUGCCCACUCCUAACCCCUGACAUAUGAGAUACAGGACCAAGAGUCAACAGAUGUGACCAACUUUCUUCAUGCAGCCACAAUGACGAAAAUAAAAAGGAGCUACGUCUACAGGUGACACUUACUGCAUUGCCAUUUAGGCAUUUUAAUAUGUGUUGUUUGAAUAUUUUACAUAAUUUUAAAAUCGUUGGUGUUACUUUAGGGUUUUGCAACAGGAUUCUAUGGAAUCCAGGCUGGCCUCCAACUUAAUGGCCUUGAACUGCUUGCUGAUCCUCCUGUCUCUGAUGGAGUAGGGGGAGAUGGACAGAGGCCUCUUUGUAUUGUAGAACGGAGUCUGCACCUGCAUGUUAUUACUAGCCUCUAUGCACUGUUCCAUGUUCACUCUCCGGCCCAGGUGGCACCUGGAGGAGUGGGUGUUAACAACAGACACUAACUACACUCAGCAUUCUGAGGAGCGCUUGAGCCCAGGAUUCCAGAGAAUGAGGGAAAUAUGCACGGGAUUAUAACAACGAAGACUCGAAGACUCGGGCAAUCACAAGUCUCAACACUUUGGUGAUCACCAAACAACGAGGUAUAUUUUAUCUAACUUAGAAUAAUCAAGAACAGGGCUGGAGAGAUGGCUCUUGCUAUGAGUUCAAUCCUUGGGAACCACCCAACACCCAGGGCUGUCUUCUGAUUUCCACAUGUAUGCCAUGGUACACACAUAUGAGUAAAUAAAUG
rnacentral:lncRNA from 1 species